rnacentral:lncRNA from 1 species
UUUCAUUAUCUAGUGCUUGAGUUCCCAAAGGAAAGGGUGAAGCUUUCGGGUUUUUGAAGGAGGAGGAAGAAGGCUCUAGUGGUCUUCAGUUUGGCUCUCACUCACUCUUAAGCUUUUUUUUCUUUUGGUCGGGUGAUGGAGAAGAAGAGAAGAGAAGAAAUAAUGAAGGAAAAAAGAGAAAUAGAGUUUGAAUACCAAGGGAGGAACCAUGUGAUCCGUCGAUUACAUGGAUGGAUUUUAGGCCGUUGAUCAACCUAAGUUGAUCAACCUGUAAAGCAAGUGAGGGAGGUUGUGUGUGCACAUUAAGUGAAAACAGUUACAGACGGACACUAUAAUGGGUAGGUCUUGCCUUGAACAAGGUUUAAGGGCACUAUUUUACAGGUGUAAGUGCGAGCGUGUCCACACGCAUACUUGCUGGCUAUUUCCCACAAGGCUUGCACAUGGGAUGCCUUCCCCUCUUUUUU